rnacentral:rRNA from 1 species
GACGAACCGAGCGAACGUUGUUCGGAAUCACUGGGCUUAAAGGGCGCGUAGGCGGGCUGUCAAGUCUGGGGUGAAAUCCCGCGGCUCAACCGUGGAACUGCCUCAGAUACUGACGGUCUCGAGGGAGGUAGGGGCGAGCGGAACUGAUGGUGGAGCGGUGAAAUGCGUUGAUAUCAUCAGGAACUCCGGUGGCGAAGGCGGCUCACUGGCUCGGUACUGACGCUGAGGCGCGAAAGCGUGGGGAGCAAACAGG